rnacentral:rRNA from 1 species
UGCCAGCCGCCGCGGUAAUACGGAGGGAGCGAGCGUUAAUCGGAAUUACUGGGCGUAAAGCGCGCGUAGGCGGCUUUGUAAGUCGGAUGUGAAAUCCCCGGGCUUAACCUGGGAACUGCAUUCGAUACUGCAUGGCUAGAGUAUGGUAGAGGGAAGUGGAAUUUCCGGUGUAGCGGUGAAAUGCGUAGAUAUCGGAAGGAACACCAGUGGCGAAGGCGACUUCCUGGACAAAUAUUGACGCUGAGGCUCGAAAGCGUGGGUAGCGAACAGGAUUAGAUA